rnacentral:rRNA from 1 species
GAAUUUUGGACAAUGGGGGGAAGCCUGAUGCAGCAACGCCGCGUGAGGGAUGACGGCCUUCGGGUUGUAAACUGCUUUUAACGGGGGAUAAAACGCUCAUGCGUGAGUGAUUGAAGGUACCCGUUGAAUAAGCCACGGCUAACUACGUGCCAGCAGCCGCGGUAAUACGUAGGUGGCGAGCGUUGUCCGGAUUUAUUGGGUUUAAAGGGUGCGUAGGCGGCCUUGUAAGUCAGUUCUGAAAUAUCCCGGCUUAACCGGGAGGGUGGGAUUGAUACUGCAGGGUUUGAGUGGAGUCGAGGUAGGCGGAAUUGACGGUGUAGCGGUGAAAUGCUUAGAUAUCGUCAAGAACACCGAUAGUGUAGACAGCUUACUAGACUUCAACUGACGCUGAGGCACGAAAGUGUGGGGAUCAA